rnacentral:snoRNA from 1 species
CUGCAGCCUAGUCCAGCUGGGCUCCCUGCCUUGCAGAGGUCUCAUGCACAGUGGGUAAUGGCAGUGAAUGCAGCCUGUUACUCCUGUGGGCUGCUCUGAGGGACCGCAGAGGCUGCC